ensembl:snoRNA SNORA62 Small nucleolar RNA SNORA62/SNORA6 family
GGUGCAUAUUGUUAGAGCUUGGAGUUGAGGCCACCAGUUGUCCAAUAAACUCACAAGAGUAGGGAGUGUGCUACAUGUGGGGCAAGAUUUUGCUAACACUGUAAGCAUCCUGGCCAAAUGAUUGGAGCUGGAUAGUGAUACUUGCUACAAGC